UGGCUCAGAUUGAACGCUGGCGGCAGGCCUAACACAUGCAAGUCGAGCGGUAGAGAGAAGCUUGCUUCUCUUGAGAGCGGCGGACGGGUGAGUAAUACCUAGGAAUCUGCCUGAUAGUGGGGGAUAACGUUCGGAAACGGACGCUAAUACCGCAUACGUCCUACGGGAGAAAGCAGGGGACCUUCGGGCCUUGCGCUAUCAGAUGAGCCUAGGUCGGAUUAGCUAGUUGGUGAGGUAAUGGCUCACCAAGGCUACGAUCCGUAACUGGUCUGAGAGGAUGAUCAGUCACACUGGAACUGAGACACGGUCCAGACUCCUACGGGAGGCAGCAGUGGGGAAUAUUGGACAAUGGGCGAAAGCCUGAUCCAGCCAUGCCGCGUGUGUGAAGAAGGUCUUCGGAUUGUAAAGCACUUUAAGUUGGGAGGAAGGGCAUUAACCUAAUACGUUGGUGUCUUGACGUUACCGACAGAAUAAGCACCGGCUAACUCUGUGCCAGCAGCCGCGGUAAU
rnacentral:rRNA from 1 species